AGCGAACGCUGGCGGCAUGCUUAACACAUGCAAGUCGCACGGGCAGUAGCAAUACUGUCAGUGGCGGACGGGUGAGUAACGCGUAGGAAUCUAUCCUUGGAAUGGGGGACAACCGUGGGAAACUACGGCUAAUACCGCAUGAUGCCUGAGGGCCAAAGACGAAAGUCGUUUGAGGAGGAGCCUGCGUCUGAUUAGGUAGUUGGUGGGGUAAAGGCCUACCCAAGCCUACGAUCAGUAGCUGGUCUGAGAGGAUGAUCAGCCACAUUGGGACUGAGACACGGCCCAAACUCCUACGGGAGGCAGCAGUGGGGAAGUAUUGGACAAUGGGCGCAAGCCUGAUCCAGCAAUGCCGCGUGGGUGAAGAAGGUCUUCGGAUUGUAAAGCCCUUUUGGCGGGGACGAUGAUGACGGUACCCGCAGAAUAAGCUCCGGCUAACUUCGUG
rnacentral:rRNA from 1 species